UAGGAGGUUCCUUCUUAUGUGUUAGCAUAUAAUACUGCGCCACAUCAGGUCCAAAGCGCGUAAUCUGCCGAACAAAAUUAGUAUGAUUGGCUUCCUUAACAGCAUUACGUUCUCUGGACAAGAAUGGACAUUGAUUUUGUAUAGACUCUGGAAUUGGUUGAGGCUCCACUGAUUCUGACAUUGUACUGAACAAUCUUGACAAUACUGGACAAUGUUGUCGAUAAUUCAUUAUCAGAGAUGAUCCAUAAUUACGAACAUAAUUCGCAGACAAACGAGUCAAGAAUGGGCACGGCAUGGU